rnacentral:tRNA from 1 species
GGCUCUGUAGCUUAACUGGAUAGAGCACUUCGUUACGGCCGAAGAGGUUCGGGGUUCGAAUCCCUGCAGAGUCA